AUUGAACGCUGGCGGCAGGCCUAACACAUGCAAGUCGAGCGGCAGCGGGAAAGUAGCUUGCUACUUUUGCCGGCGAGCGGCGGACGGGUGAGUAAUGCCUGGGAAAUUGCCCGGUCGAGGGGGAUAACAGUUGGAAACGACUGCUAAUACCGCAUACGCCCUACGGGGGAAAGCAGGGGACCUUCGGGCCUUGCGCGAUUGGAUAUGCCCAGGUGGGAUUAGCUAGUUGGUGAGGUAAUGGCUCACCAAGGCGACGAUGCCUAGCUGGUCUGAGAGGAUGAUCAGCCACACUGGAACUGAGACACGGUCCAGACUCCUACGGGAGGCAGCAGUGGGGAAUAUUGCACAAUGGGGGAAACCCUGAUGCAGCCAUGCCGCGUGUGUGAAGAAGGCCUUCGGGUUGUAAAGCACUUUCAGCGAGGAGGAAAGGUCAGUAGCUAAUACCUGCUGGCUGUGACGUUACUCGCAGAAGAAGCACCGGCUAACUCCGUGCCAGCCGCCGCAGUAAAAC
rnacentral:rRNA from 1 species